CACGUAGGGGGCGAGCGUUGUCCGGAAUCAUUGGGCGUAAAGCGCGCGUAGGCGGCCCGGUAAGUCCGCUGUGAAAGUCAAAGGCUCAACCUUUGAAUGUCAGCGGAUACUGCCGGGCUAGAGUCCGGAAGAGGCGAGUGGAACUCCUGGUGUAGCGGUGGAAUGCGCAGAUAUCAGGAAGAACACCAACGGCGAAGGCAGCUCGCUGGGACGGAACUGACGCUAAGGCGCGAAAGCGUGGGGAGCGAACAGG
rnacentral:rRNA from 1 species